rnacentral:rRNA from 1 species
UGGGGAAUAUUGCACAAUGGGCGCAAGCCUGAUGCAGCAACGCCGCGUGAGGGACGACGGCCUUCGGGUUGUAAACCUCUUUUAGUAGGGAAGAAGCGAAAGUGACGGUACCUGCAGAAAAAGCACCGGCUAACUACGUGCCAGCAGCCGCGGUAAUACGUAGGGUGCGAGCGUUGUCCGGAAUUAUUGGGCGUAAAGAGCUCGUAGGCGGUCUGUCGCGUCUGCUGUGAAAACCCGAGGCUCAACCUCGGGCCUGCAGUGGGUACGGGCAGACUAGAGUGCGGUAGGGGAGAAUGGAAUUCCUGGUGUAGCGGUGGAAUGCGCAGAUAUCAGGAGGAACACCGAUGGCGAAGGCAGUUCUCUGGGCCGUAACUGACGCUGAGGAGCGAAAGCGUGGGGAGCGAACAGGAUUAGAUACCCUGGUAGUCCACGCCGUAAACGUUGGGCGCUAGAUGUGGGGACCAUUCCACGGUUUCCGUGUCGCAGCUAACGCAUUAAGCGCCCGCCUGGGGAGUACGGCCGCAAGGCU